rnacentral:rRNA from 1 species
AUGAACGCUGGCGGCGUGCUUAACCCAUGCCAGUCGCACGAAGCAUUUAGGACAGAUUACUUCGGUUUGAAGUUCUUUAUGACUGAGUGGCGGACGGGUGAGUAACGCGUGGGUAACCUGCCUUGUACUGGGGGAUAGCAGCUGGAAACGGCUGGUAAUACCGCAUAAGCGCACAAUGUUGCAUGACAUGGUGUGAAAAACUCCGGUGGUAUAAGAUGGACCCGCGUCUGAUUAGCUAGUUGGUGAGAUAACAGCCCACCAAGGCGACGAUCAGUAGCCGACCUGAGAGGGUGACCGGCCACAUUGGGACUGAGACACGGCCCAGACUCCUACGGGAGGCAGCAGUGGGGAAUAUUGCACAAUGGAGGAAACUCUGAUGCAGCGACGCCGCGUGAGUGAAGAAGUAAUUCGUUAUGUAAAGCUCUAUCAGCAGGGAAGAUAGUGACGGUACCUGACUAAGAAGCUCCGGCUAAAUACGUG